rnacentral:snoRNA from 1 species
CACAAAGAUGAAAGAGGUAGCAAAUAAAAAUGGCCAGUCAUUUG